rnacentral:rRNA from 1 species
UACGGAGGAUGCAAGCGUUAUCCGGAAUGAUUGGGCGUAAAGCGUCCGCAGGUGGCUGUGUAAGUCUGCUGUUAAAGAGUGAGGCUCAACCUCAUAAAGGCAGUGGAAACUACAUGGCUAGAGUGCGUUCGGGGCAGAGGGAAUUCCUGGUGUAGCGGUGAAAUGCGUAGAUAUCUGGAGGAACACCGGUGGCGAAGGCGGCAUCCUGGACCAUGACUGACGCUGAGGAGCGAAAGCCAGGGGAGCAAACGGG